UUAUUUUCAGGAAGCCUUCGGGUGGAAUGAUUUUAAUUUAGCGGCGGACGGGUGAGUAACGCGUGGGCAACCUACCCUGUACAGGGGAAUAACAAUGGGAAACCAUUGCUAAUACCCCAUAAUACCUUUUAGGGGCAUCCCUAAAAGGUCAAAGAAUUUCGGUAUAGGAUGGGCCCGCGUCUGAUUAGCUAGUUGGUGAGGUAAUGGCUCACCAAGGCGACGAUCAGUAGCCGGCCUGAGAGGGUGAACGGCCACACUGGAACUGAGACACGGUCCAGACUCCUACGGGAGGCAGCAGUGGGGAAUAUUGCACAAUGGGGGAAACCCUGAUGCAGCAACGCCGCGUGAGCGAUGAAGGCUUUCGGGUCGUAAAGCUCUGUCCUAAGGGAAGAUAAUGACGGUACCUUAGGAGGAAGCCCCGGCUAACUACGUGCCAGCAGCCGCGGUAAUACGUAGGGGGCAAGCGUUAUCCGGAAUCAUUGGGCGUAAAGGGUGCGUAGGCGGCCCUAUGGGUCAGAGGUUAAAGGCUACGGCUCAACCGUAGUAAGCCUUUGAAACUGUAGGGCUUGAGUGCAGGAGAGGAGAGUGGAAUUCCUAGUGUAGCGGUGAAAUGCGUAGAUAUUAGGAGGAACACCAGUGGCGAAGGCGACUCUCUGGACUGCAACUGACGCUGAGGCACGAAAGCGUGGGGAGCGAACAGGAUUAGAUACCCUGGUAGUCCACGCCGUAAACGAUGAGUGCUAGGUGUUGGGGGGUCAAACCUCGGUGCCGCAGUUAACGCAUUAAGCACUCCGCCUGGGGAGUACGUUCGCAAGAAUGAAACUCAAAGGAAUUGACGGGGACCCGCACAAGCAGCGGAGCAUGUGGUUUAAUUCGAAGCAACGCGAAGAACCUUACCUGGACUUGACAUCCCUCGGACAGCUUUUUAAUCGAAGCCUUCCCUUCGGGGACUGAGGUGACAGGUGGUGCAUGGUUGUCGUCAGCUCGUGUCGUGAGAUGUUGGGUUAAGUCCCGCAACGAGCGCAACCCUUGUCUUUAGUUGCCAGCAGUUCGGCUGGGCACUCUAGAGAGACUGCCGGGGAUAACUCGGAGGAAGGUGGGGAUGACGUCAAAUCAUCAUGCCCCUUAUGUUCAGGGCUACACACGUGCUACAAUGGCCGAUACAACGGGCAGCCAAGGAGUAAUCCGGAGCGAAUCCUACAAAAUCGGUCCCAGUUCGGAUUGUGGGCUGAAACUCGCCCACAUGAAGUCGGAGUUGCUAGUAAUCGCGGAUCAGAAUGUCGCGGUGAAUGCGUUCCCGGGUCUUGUACACACCGCCCGUCAC
rnacentral:rRNA from 2 species